AUGAAAUACUUUGUUCAUCUUUAGGCAAGGUCCUUUGCAACCCAACCUCAAAGAAAAGUGCUGGCACAAAGAAGGUCAUCUAAACAGCUGAAAACUGAACUCCUUCUGCUGGAAUAAAUCUGAUCUGGCAUGGGGACAGGAAACAGAAAGGCCGAGGGACAGCAGCCAGCUGUCCUGUGCAUAAAAGGGGAGACGAGCUUUAACCUGAGGGCAAAGGGUGUUUGGAAGAGGAACUAAGAAGUCAUAAGAAGUCCUGUCCAUCUCCUUUACGAACAGCUCUGCUGCUGGAACCUGUGAUGUCAUCUGCUGUUGGCUUUACAUGGCUAAACAGAUGCAGAAAGAUACCCUCUGAGGGUUCCCCAAACUAACAGCAAUUUAAAAACAGAAUAUAAAGUGUGCUCAGUGGAUUUUUACAAAUGGUAUUCUGCACUUAAUGCUGACCAAAAAAAGAGGACUGAUUCAUAAUGUGAGAGUGUCAAGAGUUCUUCAGAGAAAGUGAAUAGAAAUAAGGGAAAGGAAAGCUGUGCAGUCUCAAAUGUGCUAAACUUAAAAAAAAAUUUCAAAAAGUUUACAAAAAGCAUAAGAGAAAAAAUUAGUAUAUUCUGAUAGCUAUAGCUUCUGAAAGGAACUCCACUUGAAAAUGUAAUAGUUAGCAAUAUCUGAAUAAAUUUGUGGUUUUCUAGGAAGCUCAAGUUUUAAGAAGCCACUAACAAAAAAAGAAAAAGAAGCAGAUGAACUAAGUAGGGAAUACACAGAAGUGGAAUAAACACAGCCCACGUGUGCCCUCUUCA
rnacentral:lncRNA from 1 species